UAUUAUAGUUAUUUAAAUAUUUAUUUUAAUUUUGAAAAAUUAUAUUGUAUGGCUUUAUCACUUCUUGCAUAAUUUACACCAAGCCUUUCAAAACAAAUGAUAAAUCACAGAAUUAAUCUCCAGAAUAAUUCCUAAAUAAUACUUUAAUCAACCAAUUUAUUAAAGGUUCAGAUGAUACUUUGGGCCAGUGGAUAAAGCAAUGGAUGGUCAGCAUGGAAGGCAGAGUAAUCUGUGAGGGUGAGCAUGCACACUGGAAUUCCUUCAAAGAUGCUUUGCUGGCAUAAAUCCAGAGAGGGGAACCAAGGCUGUGAGAGGAAAUGUGACGUCAAAAAAAACUGGCAACACAGUUCAGAAGAAGACCACGACUGUAAACCCCAAGGUUUCAAACCUUUUGAAGAAACUAAUGGACUUUGAAUGGGACAUUAUUUAAAAUGCAGC
ensembl:processed_transcript